AAACGGAGGUGGGGGCAGCACAGCCAGUUGCAGCUGCUAAGCUCACUGGAGACAGAGGGUUUUCUCAGCUCAUCUGGGACCCCAGCGGAAGAGAGAGCCGGCGUCUCCUGGCUGCUCUUGUGAUUGUCCGCUGUGAGAUGUGUCUUCAGUUGAAGUGUGUGAAGAAACCACCUCAAAGUCUGCCAUUGCAGAUGCCCUACCCAGUCCUGUCUUGCCAACACCCGACCUGAGCUUGGGCUCCGCGUGGGCGCUCGGCAUACGCGUGUGGGACAAGUGAGGACAUUACCCCCGUGCAGGGCCUGGCAUGCGCGACCACAGUGCCGGCAUUGAGGAUUCACAUUCUCCAGUCCGGGGAUUCAGACCUGCCACGUUCCGCCCAGCAGGAAAAAUUCAGAGCUGACAUGAAUUCAGGCCCCACGUGCAUGACUCUCAGUGAGUAAAGACAUCAAGACAAUCUCACCCUUUGUCAGA